GUUUAUGAAGUUUUUAAUAAACAUUUCAUUUUCAAUGAAAAAAAAGAAAUAAAAAUUUUUCUCAUAAAUA
rnacentral:tRNA from 2 species